UAAAGGAUGAAUGGAGUGAUGACAGGAUGCAAGAAGUGCAUUUUAGCUUGGGGAUUUUGAGAGGGAAAGAACAUGGGAUUUGCAUCUGAAGACAUGGGUUCAAGCCCUGAAUCAUCUGUUUACUAGCUCUCUGUGUCACCAUUUUCUCAUUUAUCAAAAGAGAGAAUAAUAUUGAUCUUGCCUACUUUGAGGGAGUAAGCACAGCAGUGGAAUCAGAGAGGAAGUACCACAGCAUGGAAGAGGAGAAGGAAUAUUUGGAGGCAGAUAACCUUGGCAGAGUUGUGUCACUUUCUGCUUGUUCAUUUAGUCUUCUCUCAAGGAGGCUUAAACAUUGCAGACAUCACUUCCACCAGCCACCAUGGAUUCUUCUUCUUCUAAUGCUUAUUAACUGUAUGAUCCUGAACAAAUCAUGUAAUCUCCUUGGACCUCGGUUUUCUUGUCUUCAAAAUGAGACUAGACGAUUUCUAAGACCACUUCCUUUCUAAAUCUAUAAUACUAUGAUUCUAAUAUACUAUUUUUAAAAGACAUUUUCCUAAUUACAUAUAAUAACAAUUUUCAACAUACAUUUUUUGACAUUGUAAGAUCCAAAAUGUUUCCUUCCAUCCCUUCCCACCCCAUUCCAGGAGAUGGUAAGCAAUUUGAUUAGGGUUAUACAUGUAUUAUCAUGCAAAACAUGAUUCCAUAUUGGUCAUUGGUAUAAGAGAACACUCAUAUGAAGCCAAAACCCAUUUGAGGAUUUCUUGGCACAUAUCCUAAGAGUGGUUUGCCAUUUCCUUCUCCAGUUCUUUUUUACAGAUCUGGAAAGUGAGGUAAAUGGGUUUAAGAGACUUGCUUAGGGUUACAGGGCUAAUAAAUGUCUGAGACUGCAUUUGAACUCA
rnacentral:lncRNA from 1 species